AGGACGAACGCUGGCGGCGUGCUUAACACAUGCAAGUCGAGCGGUAAGGCCCUUUCGGGGGUACACGAGCGGCGAACGGGUGAGUAACACGUGGGUGACCUGCCCUUAGCUCUGGGAUAAGCCUGGGAAACUGGGUCUAAUACCGGAUAUGACCUCGCGAUGCAUGUCGUGGGGUGGAAAGCCUUGUGCGGCUAGGGAUGGGCCCGCGGCCUAUCAGCUUGUUGGUGGGGUGAUGGCCUACCAAGGCGACGACGGGUAGCCGGCCUGAGAGGGCGACCGGCCACACUGGGACUGAGACACGGCCCAGACUCCUACGGGAGGCAGCAGUGGGGAAUCUUGCGCAAUGGGCGAAAGCCUGACGCAGCGACGCCGCGUGAGGGAUGACGGCCUUCGGGUUGUAACCUCUUUCAGCCCUGACGAAGCGAAAGUGACGGUAGGGCGAGAAGAAGCACCGGCCAACUACGCGCCAGCAGCCGC
rnacentral:rRNA from 1 species